rnacentral:tRNA from 1 species
GGGAAGUUAUACCGUAAGUAGCAGCGGGGCAGACUGUAAAUCUGUUAUUUUUGGAUUCGGGUGGUGCAACUCCACCAUUUCCCA